rnacentral:lncRNA from 10 species
GACGGGCUCCGGGCCCUGAUAGAUGGGGUGCGGGGACGGAGACAAAUGACGGCCUUUGGGCUCGGAAUACCCACCUUUCUGGUAAUGCAGCCCAGCGGGUCCCAGCCUCGUUUUCCAGCCCUCACUCAAAAUGGAGUCGCUCUGGUUCGAACGCCUCUGACAAGUGUGUACCUACGUGUCAGGGAGCCUGCUCACAUGACCGUGUGGAGAAAGUUCUUUCCCUGAGGACCAUCUGGAGUGGACGCGUGCACUACCCCUCUCUGAAUACACCCUCCCCACGAGGCCCUCUGGAGCAUCCUGUAGAGCCAGCCCCUACCCAGAGACCCUGAGCCCAGAGAAUGCGCUGGGUGGUGAGCCUGGGGACGAAUGCAGAGCCCUAGGUCUCCUCUCCAGAAGUAAGUAUGGGGUUUGUGUAAAUUGCUUGGUCAGGAGGGCGGGACCUGGGGUCUUCACUAGGCUUCCCAAAAACUGGGUUGAGCACAUAGUAG